GACGAACGCUGGCGGCGUGCCUAAUACAUGCAAGUCGAACGGUCUUUUCUAUGGAAGCUUGCUUCCACUGAGAAGAUAGUGGCGAACGGGUGAGUAACACGUGGGUAACCUGCCCAUAAGAGGGGGAUAACAUCCGGAAACGGGUGCUAAUACCGCAUAGUUUUCUUGUUCGCAUGAUCGAGAAAGGAAAGACGGCCUUUGUGCUGUCGCUUAUGGAUGGACCCGCGGCGUAUUAGUUAGUUGGUGAGGUAACGGCUCACCAAGACGAUGAUACGUAGCCGACCUGAGAGGGUGAUCGGCCACAUUGGGACUGAGACACGGCCCAAACUCCUACGGGAGGCAGCAGUAGGGAAUCUUCCGCAAUGGACGAAAGUCUGACGGAGCAACGCCGCGUGAGUGAAGAAGGUUUUCGGAUCGUAAAACUCUGUUGUCAGAGAAGAACAAGUCGGAGAGUAACUGCUCCGGCCUUGACGGUAUCUGACCAGAAAGCCACGGCCAACUACGUGCUAGCCGCCGCGGUAACAC
rnacentral:rRNA from 1 species